CGCGACGCUCCCCCCCUCCACCCUCCGUCCCAGUGCAGUGCAGUGCAGGCGGCGCGCGGGGAGCUCGGGGCUGCGAGUCCGGGUACACAGACACCGGGGAGGACGUGCCGGCACCUCCACCGGACACACCGAGACCCUGCAAUGGACUAGGCACAGAUCCCAUUGUAAGCAAUGAAAGCACAUAUGGGAAGCGAGAGGAAGAUUCUGACUGUGAAUUUAAUAGACCUCAAAAUGGCUGAACAAAAAAAAACCCCAUAAGGGAACUUGCUUCAUAAUACUAACAAACAACAAAAGGUAGAUGGGUGUUCUGUGAAUAGACAGUACAAGGCUUUGGAGAGAGAAAGACAGGACUUAGAUGGAAGGUUUUUAAUUUUCUUGCUUAUACUCCAAACAAAGCUGGAAGGAAGUCUGUGUGUGAUCAAUCUUGCUUGCCAAAUGGCUUGACAGCUUCUGGCCUUAAAGAUCACAUUUAAAGCUUCUUGUUUCUUCCAAGAUCAUAUGUUACUGGGAAAGCAGUUUGAGUAAGAAAUGCAAGUAGAGAAGAGAAUAUUUUUACUUUUCUUUCCUCUGUGAGCUCGGAUAUGUAUUUGUCUCCCUGACGCACAGGUACUGCACCUUUGCCUUUGUCUUAUAUCCACACACAUUCUAGGAAAUAGGGGUAAUAAUGGUACUUACGAUUAUUUUUAAAAUGUGGGUUAUUGGAGGGAAUGGGAGAUAGCCUGAUCAUUUGAGAUUUAAUGGUUGCUUUGUUGACUAAAUGAGUGUGGGUGUGGGUAUUCUUGCAAUCUCUUCUUUGCUCAUUGGGUCUGUGAAGCAAGGAACAAAGGAUUUUACUAUACACACAGACAUUCACACACACACACAUCAAACCUAAUGCAUUAUUCGUAUAAAGAAAUUAAAUAUUCGAGUAAAAUGUAUCUAAUGUCUCACUAGACUUUCAGAUAAAGAACAGAAAACGUCAGAGGUAUUAUAUUUGAUUGAAACAAUGUAAAUUGUGCCAAUGACAUAUGGUAGCCAGGUAUAUAGGCAUAUAACAAUGCAGUAUGUCUGUCAAUACGAAACAAACUCACUAGAUUAUUUGUUUAUAUAUAUAUAUUGGUUUUGUUUUUGUCUUUUUAUCAUUCGUUCAUAUUAAACUGAUUUUAGUGUUGAAACUAUUUUUAUAUUUUAUUUUAUCUUUGUUUCCUUCAGUCCUUUUUUUAAGAUUUCGCUUUUUUUUUUCUCUCAGUAGAUUAUAUUAUCUGUAAUUCAAGUAAUUAUUCUGUUUAUCGGCCAUCGCUUACUAAAUCAUAUCUUGUGUGCGGUCUAUUUUUAACAACUAAUAUCGUCAUCAAAAAUAAAUGCAGUUAUUUCACAUGUGAAAAUAGAGUAAGUGAAAUCAUAUGUGAAAUGGAAAAUAAAAUAUACGGAUUAUCUAACGCAAAUA